UCCGCGCCGAUAAUGUAGCGGGGCUUAAGUUAUCCGCCGAAGCUGUGGCAACCUGUGUGGUUGGGUAGGGGAGCGUCGUGUCAGUGGUGAAGCUGCCGGGUGACUGUGUGGUGGAGUUGAUGCGAGUGAGAAUGCAGGCAUGAGUAGCGUGUGACGGGUGGGAAUCCCGUCCGCCGAUUAUCCAAGGGUUCCAGGGUCAAGUUUGUCUGCCCUGGGUGAGUCGGGUCCUAAGGCGAGGCCGACAGGCGUAGUCGAUGGACAUCCGGUUGAUAUUCCGGAACCGGCGAA
rnacentral:rRNA from 1 species